GUCCCUCAAGUCUCUGUCUAUAAACUUGUCAUAACCCAAUCCAAUGUUUUGUCUCUCAAGUCUCGUCUAAAGACUUGUAAUUUUUAAAGCCGUGGGUAACUAUUGUCUAAGAAACAAGAAACCAAACAUGAUCCAUAUGUCUGUGUGAUUUUAAAGCCGUGGCUACCAAGACGGAUCAACGUUCAGUCUCAAGUCUCAGUGUAAAGACUUGUCAUAACCCAUUCCAAUGUUUUGUCCCUCAAGUCUCUAUCUAUAGACUUGUCAUAACCCAAUCCAAUGUUUUGUCUCUCAAGUCUCGUCUAAAGACUUGUAAUUUUUAAAGCCGUGGGUAACUAUUGUCUAAGACCGAAACAAGAAACCAAACAUGAUCCAUAUGUCUUUGUGAUUUAAAAGCCGUGGGCACCAAGAAGGAUCAACGUUC